rnacentral:rRNA from 1 species
GCUCAGUAACACGUAGUCAAUCUGCCCUAAGGACAGUGAUACCCUCGGGAAACUGAGGAUAAACACUGAUAAGUCAUCUAUGCUGGAAUGCUUGAUGGCUCAAACAGCGUGCGAAUUGGAGCAUGUCUGCCUUAGGAUGAGACUGCGCCUGAUUAGGUAGUUGGUGGGGUAAUGGCCCACCAAGCCGAUAAUCAGUAGGGGCAAUGGGAGUUGGAGCCCCGAGAAGAGCACUGAGACAAGGGCUCUAGUCCUACGGGAUGCAGCAGGCGCGAAACCUUUACAAUGCGCGAAAGCGUGAUAGGGGAAUUCUGAGUGAUGUUGGAACUAAGUUCCUCAUCUUUUGCUAAGUCUAAACAGCUUGGCGAAUAAGUGCUGGGUAAGACCAGUGCCAGCCGCCGCGGUAAUACUGGCAGCACGAGUGGUAUCCACGAAUAUUGGGUCUAAAGAGUCCGUAGCCGGUCCUUUAAGUCUUCUGUGAAAUCUUGAGGCUUAACUUCAAGGCGUGCAGAAGAUACUGCUGGACUUGAGAGUGGGGGAGGUCAGGAGUACUUAUGGGGUAGUGGUAAAAUACUGUAAUCCUAUAAGGACUCUCAGUGGCGAAGGCGCCUGACCAAAACACGUCUGACGGUGAGGGACGAAGGCUAGGAGAACGAAUCGGAUUAGAUACCCGAGUAGCCCUAGCAGUAAAUUAUGCAGACUGUGGUGUUGCGGUAACCCCGAGUUACCGCAGUGCUGUAGCGUAGUGUUAAGUCUGCCACCUGGGGAGUACGGCCGCAAGGUUGAAACUUAAAGGAAUUGGCGGGGGAGCAC